rnacentral:rRNA from 1 species
AUUACCUACGGGACGCAGCAGUAGGGAAUUUUCGUCAAUGGGCGCAAGCCUGAACGAGCGAUGCCGCGUGAGUGAAGAAGGCCUUCGGGUCGUAAAGCUCUGUUGCGGGGGAAAAAAGGCAGCAUCAGGAAAUGGGUGCUGACUGAUGGUGCCCCGCCAGAAAGUCACGGCUAACUACGCGCCAGCAGCCGCGGUAAUACGUAGUUGGAGAGCGUUAUCCGGAAUGUUUGGGCGUAAAGGGUGCGCAGGCGGUCCUGCAAGUCUG